AGGGUCUUCUGCUCUUGGGCUUACAGAUGGACCAGAUUCCAUGACCAUCCUGGGCCGACACAUCGCUGAGGUGGAGUCAUUCACCCUUAUUUACUGCUCUGUUCAGUCUGUACCGCCUGCUACGUUCACCUGGUUGUUCAAUGGGCAGCAGACAGGUGUACAUGAAGCUGGAUACAUCAUAAGGAGCGUCAGCUACAACAACAGUGGGGACUACAGAUGUGAUGCUCGAAUGAUCUCACCGGAAAUGUUAUCAGUGUGGACCAUAGUCUGUCAGUGAAAGAUAAAACCCCUCCACCCCUAAGCCCAGAGGGAGCAGCAGGUAUAGCAGUCGCUGUGAUGUUGGUAGUGGUUGCUGUAGCUCUUGGUCUCUAUUUCGGCAUAACUCAUCAACGGAACAAUUCCACAAAUACUACUGAGACAGGAACCAGCCUUGCACCUGACACCAGCCAUGGACCAGAAGCUAAAGGUGGUCGUGUGUAUGAGAAUGUAGGACCUCCAUUACCACCUCCAAGAGGCUCCAACAUAUACAACAGAAGUUUAAAGUGAGCAGCUGAUUUCAACUAAUCUUGCACAGUUGGAGAUGGAUUCACCCAUCAAGUUUUACACCGUAAUCAAAGAAAUGCAGAGAGGGCAAACAUUCACUGGAGGACCAGCCAAGAAGACGAGAAACUAGACCCUACUGGACUCCUCUACUGAGUAGACACUGGUCUUUGUACUGUACAGCUCAGCCAUCCAGCUAUGUAUACAGUACUUGCUCAAUGUAAAUAUGGAAUAGGCAACUAUAGAGGACAAAUUAUAUCCUCUUAAAUUGCACACACCAGUUGAGGUCUGACUAAUUGGAAUCAGCUUUCUCUGGUCAGUGUCAUCAAUAGGGGCGUUUUCAGAGAAACCUCCCCUACUGAAACACAUUUCGCAACAGGUAACAGCAACUUUUUUUUCCACUGAAAGGACAAAGAUGAGAGGCAGUUUGCGUAAUCCUGUUAUGCUUGCUGAAUCCUCACAAACCUAGGGAGGACUAGACUGCCUAUGUGGCUCUGGCCAAAAGAAGUGCACUAUAUAGUAUGUGAAAUAUUAACUGAAAUUCCAAUAAAAGAAUGGUGUUAAAUGUUG